rnacentral:rRNA from 1 species
AACGAACGCUGGCGGCAUGCCUAACACAUGCAAGUCGAACGAGACCUUCGGGUCUAGUGGCGCACGGGUGCGUAACGCGUGGGAACCUGCCCUUAGGUUCGGAAUAACUCCCCGAAAGGGGUGCUAAUACCGGAUAAUGUCUUCGGACCAAAGAUUUAUCGCCUUUGGAUGGGCCCGCGUUGGAUUAGCUAGUUGGUAGGGUAAAAGCCUACCAAGGCGACGAUCCAUAGCUGGUCUGAGAGGAUGAUCAGCCACACUGGGACUGAGACACGGCCCAGACUCCUACGGGAAGCAGCAGUGGGGAAUAUUGGACAAUGGGCGAAAGCCUAAUCCAGCAAUGCCGCGUGAGUGAUGAAGGCCUUAGGGUUGUAAAGCUCUUUUACCCGGGAUGAUAAUGACAGUACCGGGAGAAUAAGCUCCGGCUAACUCCGUG